CCGGAAGGGGAGUGAAAGAGAUCCUGAAACCGUGUGCCUACAAAUAGUCAGAGCCCGUUAAUGGGUGAUGGCGUGCCUUUUGUAGAAUGAACCGGCGAGUUACGAUCCCGUGCAAGGUUAAGUUGAAGAGACGGAGCCGCAGCGAAAGCGAGUCUGAAUAGGGCGUUUAGUACGUGGUCGUAGACCCGAAACCAGGUGAUCUACCCAUGUCCAGGGUGAAGUUCAGGUAACACUGAAUGGAGGCCCGAACCCACGCACGUUGAAAAGUGCGGGGAUGAGGUGUGGGUAGCGGAGAAAUUCCAAUCGAACCUGGAGAUAGCUGGUUCUCCCCGAAAUAGCUUUAGGGCUAGCCUUAAGUGUAAGAGUCUUGGAGGUAGAGCACUGAUUGAACUAGGGGUCCUCAUCGGAUUACCGAAUUCAGUCAAACUCCGAAUGCCAAUGACUUAUCCUUAGGAGUCAGACUGCGAGUGAUAAGAUCCGUAGUCAAGAGGGAAACAGCCCAGAUCGCCAGCUAAGGUCCCAAAGUGUGUAUUAAGUGGAAAAGGAUGUGGAGUUGCUUAGACAACUAGGAUGUUGGCUUAGAAGCAGCCACCAUUUAAAGAGUGCGUAAUAGCUCACUAGUCGAGUGACUCUGCGCCGAAAAUGUACCGGGGCUAAAUACACCACCGAAGCUGCGAAUUGAUACCAAUGGUAUCAGUGGUAGGGGAGCGUUCUAAGUGCAGUGAAGUCAGACCGGAAGGACUGGUGGAGCGCUUAGAAGUGAGAAUGCCGGUAUGAGUAGCGAAAGACGGGUGAGAAUCCCGUCCACCGAAUGCCUAAGGUUUCCUGAGGAAGGCUCGUCCGCUCAGGGUUAGUCAGGACCUAAGCCGAGGCCGACAGGCGUAGGCGAUGGACAACAGGUUGAUAUUCCUGUACCACCUCUUUAUCGUUUGAGCAAUGGAGGGACGCAGAAGGAUAGAAGAAGCGUGCGAUUGGUUGUGCACGUCCAAGCAGUUAGGCUGAUAAGUAGGCAAAUCCGCUUAUCGUGAAGGCUGAGCUGUGAUGGGGAAGCUCCUUAUGGAGCGAAGUCUUUGAUUCCCCGCUGCCAAGAAAAGCUUCUAGCGAGAUAAAAGGUGCCUGUACCGCAAACCGACACAGGUAGGCGAGGAGAGAAUCCUAAGGUGUGCGAGAGAACUCUGGUUAAGGAACUCGGCAAAAUGACCCCGUAACUUCGGGAGAAGGGGUGCUUUCUUAACGGAAAGCCGCAGUGAAUAGGCCCAAGCGACUGUUUAGCAAAAACACAGGUCUCUGCGAAGCCGUAAGGCGAAGUAUAGGGGCUGACACCUGCCCGGUGCUGGAAGGUUAAGGAGAGGGGUUAGCGUAAGCGAAGCUCUGAACUGAAGCCCCAGUAAACGGCGGCCGUAACUAUAACGGUCCUAAGGUAGCGAAAUUCCUUGUCGGGUAAGUUCCGACCCGCACGAAAGGUGUAACGAUUUGGGCACUGUCUCAACCAGAGACUCGGUGAAAUUAUAGUACCUGUGAAGAUGCAGGUUACCCGCGACAGGACGGAAAGACCCCGUGGAGCUUUACUGUAGCCUGAUAUUGAAUUUUGGUACAGUUUGUACAGGAUAGGCGGGAGCCAUUGAAACCGGAGCGCUAGCUUCGGUGGAGGCGCUGGUGGGAUACCGCCCUGACUGUAUUGAAAUUCUAACCUACGGGUCUUAUCGACCCGGGAGACAGUGUCAGGUGGGCAGUUUGACUGGGGCGGUCGCCUCCUAAAGUGUAACGGAGGCGCCCAAAGGUUCCCUCAGAAUGGUUGGAAAUCAUUCGUAGAGUGCAAAGGCAUAAGGGAGCUUGACUGCGAGACCUACAAGUCGAGCAGGGACGAAAGUCGGGCUUAGUGAUCCGGUGGUUCCGCAUGGAAGGGCCAUCGCUCAACGGAUAAAAGCUACCCCGGGGAUAACAGGCUUAUCUCCCCCAAGAGUCCACAUCGACGGGGAGGUUUGGCACCUCGAUGUCGGCUCAUCGCAUCCUGGGGCUGUAGUCGGUCCCAAGGGUUGGGCUGUUCGCCCAUUAAAGCGGUACGCGAGCUGGGUUCAGAACGUCGUGAGACAGUUCGGUCCCUAUCCGUCGUGGGCGUAGGAAAUUUGAGAGGAGCUGUCCUUAGUACGAGAGGACCGGGAUGGACGCACCGCUGGUGUACCAGUUGUUCUGCCAAGGGCAUAGCUGGGUAGCUAUGUGCGGAAGGGAUAAGUGCUGAAAGCAUCUAAGCAUGAAGCCCCCCUCAAGAUGAGAUUUCCCAUAGCGUAAGCUAGUAAGAUCCCUGAAAGAUGAUCAGGUUGAUAGGUUCGAGGUGGAAGCAUGGUGACAUGUGGAGCUGACGAAUACUAAUAGAUCGAGGACUUAACCAU
rnacentral:rRNA from 1 species